CAGUAGCCACGGUAAUACGUAGGUGGCGAGCGUUGUCCGGAAUUAUUGGGCGUAAAGGGAGCGCAGGCGGACAUAUAAGUCCAUCUUAAAAGUGCGGGGCUCAACCCCGUGAGGGGAUGGAAACUGUAUGCCUUGAGUGCAGGAGAGGAAAGCGGAAUUCCCAGUGUAGCGGUGAAAUGCGUAGAUAUUGGGAGGAACACCAGUGGCGAAGGCGGCUUUUUGGCCUGUAACUGACACUGAGGCGCGAAAGCGUGGGGAGCAAACAGGAUUAGAUACCCCUGUAGUCCCUGUCUCUUAACAC
rnacentral:rRNA from 1 species